UACGGAGGAUCCAAGCGUUAUCCGGAUUUAUUGGGUUUAAAGGGUGCGUAGGCGGCCUGUUAAGUCAGGGGUGAAAGACGGUAGCUCAACUAUCGCAGUGCCCUUGAUACUGAUGGGCUUGAAUGGACUAGAGGUAGGCGGAAUGUGACAAGUAGCGGUGAAAUGCAUAGAUAUGUCACAGAACACCGAUUGCGAAGGCAGCUUACUAUGGUCCUAUUGACGCUGAGGCACGAAAGCGUGGGAGUCAAACAGGA
rnacentral:rRNA from 1 species